AUAUACUAUCGGACAAAAGUAAGGCAACAUUUUGAAAAAUAUAGAAAUUAAUGUCUAUCUAAUGUAAAUAAAUUAUGAUCGGGCAAACUAUGGUAUUAUUAAAAGAAUCAAAGGAAGCUACUGUCAUUAAUGUCAAGUAAUUAUUUAUUAAGGUUGAAAAAAACCGCUUUGUUGACUUGUAGUGUAAAAAAGGAUUAUUUUAAGACGACAAAAGCCAAUAUUAACAGUUCGUCUUGCGCAACAAGAGCCAUGCCAACGGGUACACCAAUUGGUAAAGAGUUGAAAGAAAGAGUGAUCGAUGCUUUCUUAAACAAUGAAAAACAAGCGGAUAUUGCAAGAAGAUUUCAACUGCUUAGAUACAGCGUGUCUAAAAUAAUUAUUCGCUACAACGAAAGAGGACAUUUAAACAAUAAUCCAAAAUCGGGACGACCACGAAAAACCACUAUAAACAUGGACAGACGCAUUAAAAGAAUUUCGGAGAACGAUCCAUGGAAAUCUGCAUCUAAAAUUAUAGCGGAAAUACCGGAAGUAGGAGUUAGUACACGAACAAUUCAAAGAAGACUGGUUGCAGCAAAGCUUUUUAGUAGACGUCCUGCUAAAAAACCUUUGAUUUCCGAAAGAAAUAGACGGGCCAGACUUCAAUUUGCAAGAGAACAUUUGAAUUGGACGAAGCAAGAUUGGAGGAAAGUUCUGUUUAGUGACGAAACUCGAUACAAAUUAUUUAAUUCGGAUGGAAUGAAACGUGUGAGACGGCCAAUCAAUACACGAUUCAACCCCAAGUAUGUUACACCCACUGUUAAACAUGGUCAUGGUAGCGUUUUUCUGUGGGGGUGUUUUUCGUGGAAUUGUGUGGGUCCGUUGAGGGUAAUAUGGAUCGGUUCAUCUAUAAGGACAUACUCCAAGAUGUAAUGCUGCCGUAUGCAGAAUGGAAAAUGCCUCUUCGUUUUAUCUUUCAGCAAGAUAACGACCCCAAACACACUUCUGCAUUGGUCAGUGAGUGGUAAUAAUAAUAUUCAUGUUUUGCAAUGGCCUGCCCAAUCACCAGACCUCAACCCAAUUGAGAACUUAUGGGAAGAGGUAGAGCGACGAAUCCGGAUACAAAAAUUUCCCAACAAGCAAUCUUUGAUAGAUAAAAUCAAGGAAGUGUGGUCAAAUCUGGAUGAAAAUGUUAUUCAAAAAUUAAUUUCUUCAAUGCCCAGACGGUGCCAAAAAAUUAUACUUAAUAACGGCUAUGCCAUAAAUUAUUGAAUUUUUCGUUCUAUUUAUUUAAACUUUAGUGUUGGGUAGUGUUAUGUAAAUGUUGAAUCAAAUAAAAUUUGAGUUGAAAAUA